rnacentral:rRNA from 1 species
GACGAACGCUGGCGGCGUGCCUAACACAUGCAAGUCGAAUGGAGAUUUCAGCAAUGAAAUCUUAGUGGCGAACGGGUGAGUAACGCGUAGACAACCUGCCUUUUAGAUGGGGACAACACCGCGAAAGUGGUGCUAAUACCGAAUGUUGUAUUUUGAUCGCAUGACCAGAAUACUAAAGAUGGCCUCUGUAUAUGCUAUCGCUAAAAGAUGGGUCUGCGUCUGAUUAGCUAGUUGGUGAGGUAAUGGCUCACCAAGGCGACGAUCAGUAGCCGGUCUGAGAGGAUGAACGGCCACACUGGGACUGAGACACGGCCCAGACUCCUACGGGAGGCAGCAGUGGGGAAUCUUCCGCAAUGGACGAAAGUCUGACGGAGCAACGCCGCGUGAGUGAAGAAGGUUUUCGGAUCGUAAAACUCUGUUUUCAGGGACGAAUGUGCAGAUUGUAAAUAAUGAUUUGUAAUGACGGUACCUGAGUAGAAAGCCACGGCUAACUACGUGCCAGCCGCCGCCGUAA